rnacentral:rRNA from 1 species
AUCCAUAGCUGGUUUGAGAGAAUGGCCAGCCACACUGGGACUGAGACACGGCCCAGACUCCUACGGGAGGCAGCAGUGGGGAAUAUUGGACAAUGGGGGGAACCCUGAUCCAGCAAUGCCACGUGUGUGAAGAAGGCCUUAGGGUUGUAAAGCACUUUCAGCGGGGAGGAAGGUAAGCUAAUUAAUACUUGGCUUAAUUGACGUUACCUGCAGAAGAAGCACCGGCUAACUCCGUGCCAGCAGCCGCGGUAAUACGGAGGGUGCGAGCGUUAAUCGGAAUUACUGGGCGUAAAGGGCGCGUAGGCGGAAGAUUAAGUUGGAUGUGAAAUCCCAGGGCUCAACCUUGUAACUGCAUCUGAAACUGGUCUUCU